UACGGAGGUCUCAAGCGUUGUUCGGAUUCAUUGGGCGUAAAGGGUGCGUAGGUGGCGGGGUAAGUCGGAUGUGAAAUCCCGGGGCUCAACCCCGGAACUGCAUUCGAUACUGCCUUGCUCGAGUACUGGAGAGGAGAUUGGAAUUUACGGUGUAGCAGUGAAAUGCGUAGAUAUCGUAAGGAAGACCAGUGGCGAAGGCGGGUCUCUGGACAGUUCCUGACGCUGAGGCACGAAGGCCAGGGGAG
rnacentral:rRNA from 1 species